rnacentral:rRNA from 1 species
UACAGAGGUCUCAAGCGUUGUUCGGAUUCAUGGGGCGUAACGGGUGUGUAGGUGGCGCCGUAAGUCGGGUGUGAAAUUUCGGAGCUUAACUCCGAAACUGCAUUCGAUACUGCGGUGCUUGAGGACUGGAGAGGAGACUGGAAUUCAUGGUGUAGCAGUGAAAUGCGUAGAGAUCAUGAGGAAGACCAGUGGCGAAGGCGGGUCUCUGGACAGUUCCUGACACUGAGACACGAAGGCCAGGGGAGCAAACGGG